AAUGAACGCUGGCGGCGUGCCUAACACAUGCAAGUCGGAUGUGCCGCCCGGUGCAUGGCAGACGGGUGAGUAACGCGUAGGGAAUCUACCUUUUUGUGAGGCAUCACGCUCCGAAAGGAGUGGUAAUACCGCAUGAGACCGUGAGCUGGGAUGUUCACGGUGAAACCUGGGGGCCGCAAGGCCUGGGGCCAAAAGAGGAUCCUGCGUCGGCUUAGCUAGUUGGGGGGGUAAUGGCCCACCACGGCGACGAUCAGUAGCCGGCCUGCGUGGGGGGUCGGCCACACUGGAACGUGGACAGGGACCAUACGCCUACGGGAGGCAGCAGUGGGGAACGGGGGGCAGUGGUGGGAAGUCUGGCGCAGUAGGGCGGAGUGGGAGAUGGAGGCCUUCCGAGUGUAAAGCCCGGCUUUCAGGGACGAAGGUGGCAGGGUUAAUAGCGCGGGUACUUGACGGUACCUGGUGAGGAAGCCCCGGCUAACUAUGUG
rnacentral:rRNA from 1 species